AGGCUUUUCUCGGUCAUCAGAUCUUAUUUCUCUGUUUCUCUUUCGUUACGAAUCGAGCCAGAAAUGAUGAAUUCGAGGCAUUUAUUUUCCUUUUCCUCUUUCUAAGUAAACUUUUAUACUUUAUUUAUGUACUUUGCGGGAGACGUUUCCUUGAUCAACAGGAUGGGAGUCAUGAUAGACAAGCGGUGGAUGGCUUACCGGAUCGUAACUUCCUUAUUUGGAAUGUUGGUGACGUCACAGGCGCUCAACCUAACUCCCCCCGGGUAUGACCACCACCUACGACCUC